UAGCAGCUCUGAAAAUGCCCACUCUACUGAUGUAGCAGAAGUGUCCACUGACCCAGCCAACAUAUCCUGUGCCAGAAAAGUGUCAAAUAUGACAAGCAGAUGCAAAAAUCAGUACAAUCUAUUUUUUUUUUAAUUGUUCAGAAUUUUCAGUACCAUAAAAGCCCAACAUGACAUCCACGAAAUCCUUUGUCUUGUCUUCUCUUUUCCCUGAUUCCAUGUGCUCGUCAAUAAUUUUCUCGAAGAAGUCAUCGAAGAUUGUGUGAACCACCUUUAAGCGCUUAGUUAUCCCUUGAAGGUCAAGUGCACCGAUAUAAGGAAUGUAAUCUCCCAUGUUAGUGGUUGCUACUAAAUGCAACGCCUCUUGCAUCACAGCCUUGAACCUUUUCUCAUCCAAGUCCUGGUCCAUAAACUUCUUCCCUAAAAUCAUUCUACAAGCCAUGUCUAAACUGUACUUUGAAACCUUUGCACUGACAUCAACAGCAGCUCCAUCGUUGGCUGCCUCUCUUAGAAGUUUGAUCAACAGGUCAAGCUCCUCUUCCCUCAUGCUUCUGAAGGAAUUAAUUUUGGUUUGACUCAGCAAUUCCAACGUGCACAUCUUGCGCAUGUUGCGCCAAUAAGAGCCAUAUUCAGCAAAGGCUAAGUUCCUCUGCCCCCAAGAGACGUAUUUGUCUGCUUGAUAACGUGGUCUGCUGGCGAACAAAAGGUCAUGGGUCUUGAGGAAGAGUUUAGCAGCUUGGGGUGAAGAAACAACAAUGGUGGGCACAAAACCUAAGCGUAAGUACAUGACAGGUCCAUAUUUUUGAGCCAGUUGGUGCAGAUCACGAUGUGGAUUUGCUCCCAACUUGUUAAGACUUCCGAAAAUUGGCAACCCAGUGGGACCAGGUGGCAAGUUAUCUGCCUUCUUCUUGCUUCUGCAAAGCCACAGAAAAGCAAGAGACGCUAAAAGAAUUGCCAUCAAAAUCAUCUUAUCUAUUUGGCAGAGUUCAAGUAACAAUUGGAUAGCAGUGUUCAUCUUUGUUUCCAAAAGCAAGAAGGCUGUGAGGAGUUGGAUGGUGUUGAAAAUAUGAUGAGAACUAGAGUAUCAUAUAUAUGUGCUUUAUGGAUCACAAACACAUUCGAACAGUUCACCGUCACUGCCUUGCAUUAAAAAAGCGGUGUUAAUUCUUCUUGUAUAUUUUUAAAUAUAACGAAAUAAAUAUAUUUGAUAAUAUUAAUUAUGAAA